GCCUGGGUGGCUCAGUUGGUUAAGCGCCUGACUUCGGCUCAGGUCACGAUCUCAACAGUUUGUGGGUUCAAGUCCUGCAUCGGGCU
rnacentral:tRNA from 1 species